rfam:Picea glauca, whole genome shotgun sequence.
UAAAUGGUGUCCUUAGACACCACCAUUUGCCUUUAAAAAAUAAUCU